GAUGAACGCUGGCGGCGUGCCUAAUACAUGCAAGUCGAGCGAACAGACGAGGAGCUUGCUCCUCUGACGUUAGCGGCGGACGGGUGAGUAACACGUGGAUAACCUACCUAUAAGACUUGGAUAACUUCGGGAAACCGGUGCUAAUACCGGAUAAUAUAUUGAACCGCAUGGUUCAAUAGUGAAUGACGGUUUUGCUGUCACUUUUAGAUGGAUCCGCGCCGCAUUAGCUAGUUGGUAAGGUAACGGCUUACCAAGGCAACGAUGCGUAGCCGACCUGAGAGGGUGAUCGGCCACACUGGAACUGAGACACGGUCCAGACUCCUACGGGAGGCAGCAGUAGGGAAUAUUCCGCAAUGGGCGAAAGCCUGACGGAGCAACGCCGCGUGAGUGAUGAAGGUCUUCGGAUCGUAAAACUCUGUUAUUAGGGAAGAACAAAUGUGUAAGUAACUAUGCACGUCUUGACGGUACCUAAUCAGAAAGCAACGGCUAACUACGUG
rnacentral:rRNA from 1 species